UUUUCUUUAGAGCAACAGAGGCUUUUGCAAUAUGGAAAAAGUGACAUUUGAUCUGAAGGAGUGUGGAGGGGAGCUCUGAGUGUGGGGGACUGACCUUUACUAACCACCUACCCAGAGCGGAGGCUGGAGAAGCGCGAGCUGAGCCUGCAGCAGUGAUGUCUGGUGCCCUCCACAGGCCAAAUUUUAUUGCCUUGACCUUUCUUCAAAUGAGAUGAUCUUCUGGGCCUCCUUACUCUGGACCCCUACUCCAGGCAGCACUGGAUUUGAAACCUGUUACCCGGGAAGAAGCUCCAUGGAGUCAGAGCUGCAGAAAUCUGGCCACAGAAUCCCACCCUAAGAGCACCGAGCCCAAAGUCUCGAGCCCAGAAGUAAAGCCAUCACCAGCAGAUUUGAGACACCUAAAAUGGGGGAAUCCUGGUGUAGACAAUAGGAUUUCUCAGCCCAUUACUCCUGCG